AUGUCAUUUCCAUGUACUGAACUCUUGUUAUUCAACUAUGCCAAGGUAAAUUCAAUUUUCCAUUCGAUGGCACCUUUAACAUGUUUGUAGCAUUUAAAAUUUGUUGGGUAGCAAAAAUGAAUGGUGCUACCCACAUGUUCUGUGCAUUUUAGGAAAAAGUAUGAAAUGUAUUUAUUUAACUUUUUUAAAAGAAGCCAAUUUUAGCACCAUUAAGAUUUUUUGCAUUGUGACCAUAUUGUCAUGACAAGCACAUUUUACUUGAUAGAUUCUUAUUAACGUAAUACAAUAAAAAAAAUCUCUUUCUUAUUUAAAUAAUAGGGGAAAACAUAAUAUUAUUUGAAUUGUGGUAUAGUAUUUGUUGUCUGCUUUUAAUUUAUAAUAAUUUAUAAAAUCAUUACUGUAAUUGUAUUACAAUAAUAUGAAUUAUGGACAUUAAACUAUGGGAAAAACAAACAUUUUUGGGGUGAAAUGUGAGCUGCACGUGGUAUUUUGUAAGAUUCACAAAUAAAAUAUAUGUCUGAAAUUAAAAUAAUAUUUGUAGAUUUUCAUCUUCACAAUCUGAAGACUUUAUUUCACUGAGAAGUGAGAAAACAAGCAUGGACAAGUACAAAAUAAAAAACAAUACUAAAGGUCUUUAGUACAUCAUUUGUUAAAUGUAGCCACCUUCAGCAUACAGAAAUGGUGGAAAAUAAUCAAUCUUUAUCGAUUGUGUAGGGAACAUAUGAUAUUCAUGCCCGAGCCAUGCCGCGUGGGCCUGAUUCUGAGAAGGAAUGUUCAAUACAAGUUAAACUCUGUCAGUGGCAUUUGUGACACAAUCUCAUUUGACUUUACAGCAUUACCCUUACAAUGGAAGUAUGUGGUGCAAAUGUUAAAAUCCUCACAUUUUAACAGCAUUAUGUGUUAACAUGAGACUUAACAUGAAAUUGAUUGUUAACCUUGCCUGUGUAAAGUUAUAUCCAAUCUUUUAACACCUGUCAAAUAUGGUAAACACAAUAACUUUUGUAUGAUUUGUGUAAAGGACAUUCGUGUAAAGGAUGAAACUAUCCACACAAGUACUGUACAUACAGACAAAUCCACCCACUGAAGUUACACUGGAAACGCAUAUCCAAGAAUUCACAGGUUUAACUUGUUUUGCACCCAGAACAUUCCCUGUAGCCCUGUUGGUCGAUUUGUGGAACUGUUAUUGAUUAUUGAGGAAUUUAGCAUUGUGUAUAAAACUCUACCAUGUGACGAAAUUCCAAGACAAUGAGGAACUAAAUACUGGAUUGUUGUAGGUGUGGUCGGAGUGCUUAAAGUAGAACCAAAUGAUGAUGCAGAGUACCUGAAAAUAGCUUUUGACUUCACUUUUUGUGUUGAAACUUCCCCUCCCAACUAGCCAGCUGUAAUACCAAGCAAUAUAAAGUCUCAUACAAACUAAUCCAUACAGUCUAUGAACCAUAUUCCAGCAGCCAGUUACUAAAAUACACUUUCUAAUAUAACUAAGGGUUUUCGUAAGGGGUUUAUUGCAAUUGGGCCCAGAUUUUCUGAAGUCCUAUGAUGAACACCCUGAAAUAAAAGUUACUCACUCACUCAAGACUUGCACUUGACUGCAACUCCCAAAUCAAAUAGCUAUUUUUAUAUUAGUCAUUAGUUACGAUAUGUCAAGUUUAACAUCAGUGACAUCAAACUUCAUUGGUUUUCAUGUGUCUCAUCAUGAGCAAAUGUCCUUCUAGCGUCAUAUUGUAUGUGAGAGAUACAGCAGGGGAAGAUUUUCAGUGAAUAAUAACUAAAAUUCUUUCUUUUGUGGGUUGAGAACACAAAUGAUAUAGACACAUUUUAAAAGACUUUGUCAUUGUGACCUUCACAUUUGUUUUAUGGAAAAGAGCAACUAGAAAAUUUGGUAUCACUUUACAAUAAAUUCCCAUUAGUUAAUGUUAGCUGAAGCAUUAACUAACAUUAACUAACAAUGAGCAUACAUUUGAAACAGCAUUUAAUCAUCUUUGUUAAUGUUAGUUAAUAAAAGUACUGUUCAUUGUUAGUUCAUUUGAGCUUAGGUCCAUUAAUUAAUAUUAACAGAUACAACUUUUGAUUUUGGUUUCAUUAUUCCUCUUGAGAACCUUAUAAUAAAGUAAAAAUUAAAAUAAUUAAAAAGCCAAAAUAUUUAUAGUGUCUGACCAAAUUGAAUAUCGAUUCCAAAUGGAGACAGUGAGAGAAUGGAUUGGCAAUGGAGGCAAUGGAGGCCCAGGGCUUAUUCACACUGUCUAAAUAAAGCAGGGUAAUCAGGAGCUGGAAAUAGGAUUGUGGGAUGCGGUGAUUAUCUGUCUGUCGCAUGUUACGCUCUGACAAGAACCAGUGACACUAUUUAUUUCCACACAGCUUCGCCUUUGAAGCAGUCUAUGCAUUUACAUGAGAGAGCGCUGCUGAACAUGGCUCGGUGUUGUUGAAGGCAGCCCUGGGGACAGACAGCAGCUAAUUGAGUUUGUGAUGUGGUCAUUGGCCGCUGAUGCCGAUGAAAGCCGGGUCACAGCUAGGAGUUACGUUCAGAAGUCAAUAGGCAAAGGUGACUAUCAUGCAAAUGGGAUUAAUCUAUAUGUGCGACUGUUUUAACCAGGUCAUGUCUAAGGUCGUCUCACUGGGAUUUCAGUGGCAUUACAGCAUUCAGCCUUUUGUUGAGCUGCCUGUUUAUAAAGAGAGAGAGCGAGCGAGACCCAUGUUGCCAUGACUGUUGCCAGCAUAGAGUCCAUCUUAGUGUGUUUCCCAGUUAAAUCAACAGAUCGAGAAGAAAUACUGCCGGCAUGGUUUCAUUUUGGAUGAUAUUUUCUGCCUUUUUGAUACUGCCGAAUAAAUGUAUGUAUUACAGCAGGGUUUCACAAAAUGGGUGUUUGUGAGGAAAUUGCAGGGGGUUUGUGAGUUGAUGAAAAGCUAAUAAUGAAUUAACUAAUCAAAAUCUAAGAUUAACAUAAAUAUAAAAAAAUAAAAAAAAAAAAAUUGUCUGUAACAUUUUGAUAGUCCUUUGCAACUACAUGUCAACUUAUUCUAUUAACCCUAACCUUAAACUAACACUCUACUAAUACUCUAAUGAGAGUUAGUUGACAUGAAGUUGCAAGUUACUUAGAGUUAGUAGAGUGUCUAAAGGCAGGAACACACCAAGCCGACGGUCGGCCGUCUGGCAGUUUUUGUUCGUCGGCCGACUAAGUUUUCUCAGUGUGUUCCGCACCGUCGGCUGAAGUUGGUCCUCGUUGCCUUUU